rnacentral:lncRNA from 1 species
CUCAGAGCUACAACUGACGUACAAAUUGAACUCUCUAAGAUAUAAAGUGAAUGCCACAAUAUACAUUUCUACAGAGUAGGGAGUCUGACUAGAUUUAAAUGAAUACGUACACUUGAAGUUCCUUUUGGUAUAAUAUGCCUACAAUAAGGUAGAUUUCAAUGAAUACGUACACUUGAAGUUCCUUUUGGUAUAAUAUGCCUACAAUAAGGUUUCGUCGUCAUUCUUAUUCUAUUUGUAGGGUUUGGGGUGAGGGGAGAGUGGAACUUACAUUUCGUGCUUCGAGAAAGGAACUGCAAAAAUGUUAAUGCUAUUCAUGGAACAAAACUUCAACAAAUUUUCUGCUUAAUCUGACUCCG